rnacentral:rRNA from 1 species
UACGGAGGGUGCAAGCGUUAUCCGGAUUCACUGGGUUUAAAGGGUGCGUAGGAGGGCAGGUAAGUCAGUGGUGAAAUCUCCGAGCUUAACUUGGAAACAGCCGUUGAUACUAUCUGUCUUGAAUAUUGUGGAGGUGAGCGGAAUAUGUCAUGUAGCGGUGAAAUGCUUAGAUAUGACAUAGAACACCAAUUGCGAAGGCAGCUCGCUACACAUAUAUUGACUCUGAGGCACGAAAGCGUGGGGAUCAAACAGG